AUUGAACGCUGGCGGCAGGCCUAACACAUGCAAGUCGAACGGUAGCACAGAGAGCUUGCUCUCGGGUGACGAGUGGCGGACGGGUGAGUAAUGUCUGGGAAACUGCCUGAUGGAGGGGGAUAACUACUGGAAACGGUAGCUAAUACCGCAUAACGUCGCAAGACCAAAGAGGGGGACCUUCGGACCUCUUGCCAUCAGAUGUGCCCAGAUGGGAUUAGCUAGUAGGUGGGGUAACGGCUCACCUAGGCGACGAUCCCUAGCUGGUCUGAGAGGAUGACCAGCCACACUGGAACUGAGACACGGUCCAGACUCCUACGGGAGGCAGCAGUGGGGAAUAUUGCACAAUGGGCGCAAGCCUGAUGCAGCCAUGCCGCGUGUAUGAAGAAGGCCUUCGGGUUGUAAAGUACUUUCAGCGGGGAGGAAGGUGUUGAGAUUAAUAACCUCAGCAAUUGACGUUACCCGCAGAAGAAGCACCGGCUAACUCCGUGCCAGCAGCCGCCGUAA
rnacentral:rRNA from 1 species